CAUAGGCCGGCGGCUAUAGCUCCGAUUCGGGCUCCUAGCCUGGAAACCCCCAUAUGCCACAGGAAAAGCUCACAACAAGUCCUGCCUUCUCGGAAUAAAAGUCAGAACUUGAAUUCCCAGCCUUCCCUGAAGGAAGGAGAAAGUCUUGACCCUUCAAAUACUCCCAAGCAAGACCUGAAUUUGGAAGUAAAUAACCUAAGGGGGGGGGGGGCGUUGGAGGAAGGAAGAGGGAAGAGGAGGGGAGCGGUCUGCUAGUACCUCCCCACUUCCUUAAAAGUGUUUUCGUCCAUGGCAGAGACAUCCGGCUGUCAGUGGUGGCAGCUGUUUCCCAGACAUUGCAAGGUCAAUGGGACAGGAAGUUUCAUUAGUGCAAGCAGAGGUGGCAUGUGCGACCAAGCAGGUAUGGGGCACUGGGUGCCUCGUGCAGAGGCCACCGCUCUCUAUUCCUGGAGUCUGAGGCUGGGCUUUGGGAAUGCUCUUGGAAGUUCAGUUCCAGCUCUUCCUCCCACCUGUCGGAGGAAGGGAAAGCCUAGAAGCUCACCAGACCCAUUUUCUCUCCAUCCUUGGGUACCCACAGAGCUGGACUGCCUUUCCCAGCCUUCCUUGCUUUUGUGUGUGGCCACAUGACUGCUGCCUUCUGACUAAUGGAACAUGGACAGAAGUGAUGCACUUCCAUGCCUGGUCCCUAAAACCCCCAGAGCCAUUCUCUGUGCUCUUACCUCCCAGAAGGAAGUAGAAAAUCCAUCCCAUGGAAGACACAAGGUCCCUAGACAAUGGUGGAGCCACUAGAAAAAAGCAGCUUGAGCCCUUGAAUCUCCCCUGAUAGGACUGUGUCUCCAAAUAAGCCUCUUAUUGUAUUAAGCCACUUUGAUUUGGGUGCUGUGAUAAGGUUAGCCGGUCCUGACUAAUACACAUAAUGAAUCCAUUUUCUGCUGAACUAGUCAAGGUAGGUUUUAUUUUUUAUGACCAAGGGCUCUGAGUGUUUCACUUCCCAACCUGAUCUGCCCUCAGGUGGUCUGAUCUGAGAGGAGGUCUGAUCAGACCAGGAGGCACUGUGUCACCUCUCCUCCUGGCAGUCCCCACCCUUCCUCAGGCCCAGGCCACAUAAGUCCCUCUAAGAAAGUCAGCUUCUUCUCCUCUACAAUCUUAGUGGGGCCUGUGACUUCUCGCCUAACUUCUGCUUGAUGCUGAAGAAAGGCAGGCAUGUUUUUCCUGGUACCCCUGAAAUCUGUAUAAGGACUCCUGCCCCUCCUCUUCUUUAUUAUAAGGUGAUCUGGUCGAAAUCAUGCUUUGAUUUAGCACAGAAGACAACCUUUUGCACAUCUGGUCCCCCCCACCCCUUCAUUCUCCCGUAUCCACAGGGGUGGGCUUGUGGCAGCCAUGUUUGUAUCAUGGGACUGACUCCUUGAAGUUGAUUGGACCAGGAUCUGGCACGUGACCCAAGCUGGGCCAAUCUGAGACUUUGUGUCUGAAACGAGGCCCUGCAGCUCACUCCGGCUGCUCUGAGCCCAUCUGUUGAAUGGGACCGUCCGUCUCCUGUGCCAGGUGGACUGUGAAACAGGCCUAGAGGAAGCCAGUGGGCUAACAAAAUCAAAGCAGCAAAAAUAAAGAGAAGGUCUUCAGAACAAGAGGAACCUGACUUGAGUUGCUGUUCCCAGAAGAAACGCCAAGAUGCACCUGGACCUGCCCUAGGAAAUGCACUGUGGGACCUUGAGCCAGAACUGUGAUGGGGAGAGACUUUCGGCGGGGGUGGGAAGGGGUCUUUGGAUGCUAUAUGUGGAACUCCUGUAAUUUGGGCCAGAGGGUGGUCUAUGGCGAGUUAAGUUCUUGGAUGGUCACCCAGCACGCUGCAGGUCUGGGCCCCAAGGAGCUGCAUUUGAAGGGUUUUCGUCUGAGGCGAAUUUCUAGUCCAGUGGAAACGCAAGUGAAACCACUGUAGGUUAGGAGGUGCUGUUGUGGCUCAGUGAGUUAAGAGCCUGACAGAGUGUCCAGGAGGAUGCAGGUUCAAUCCCUGGCCUCACUCAGUGGGUUAAGGAUCCAGCAUUGCCACAAGCUGCCAUGUAACAGGGUGGCUGUGGCUGUGAUGUAGGCCAGGAGCCACAGGUCCAACUCACCCCUUGGCCCAGGAACCUCCAGAUGCUGCAGUUGCAGCUGUAAAAAGAGAAAAAAAGAGCAAAAAAUACUGCAGGUUGGUCCUUGACAUCUCAAACAAUCUGUCAACGUGUCAGUUCUAGAAAAUCCAAGCUGGACUCUGAGGGAUGUCAAGUGGACAAUACUGUAUGGUCGUGGGGUUGGGGACCCAGAGAGAAGAAAAUAGAGUGACCAGGUUCUGGGGCCACGUGCCCAUUCUCAGCUCCCAUUGCAGCUGCAGAGGGUGCCCCUCAAUGGAGAAAGUGAUGCAACCUAGGGGACCCUGCUGUGACCCUCUCGGAAGUCACACAUGGCGGGACAGAGGUGGCAGGGGCCCAAGGAGCCCGUGGGGAGAUGCAGCUCCAUUGACAGUCCAUGAUAAAUGACUUGACUUAGAAAGAGUGGCUUGGAGUUCCCGUGUGGCUCUGGGUUAAGCAGCCGACCAGUAUUAGCUGAUACUGCAGGUCCUAUCCCUGUCCUCGCUCAGUGGGUUAAAGGAUCUGGCAUGCUAUGGCUGUGGCUGUGGCCAGCAGCUGCACCUCUGAUCUGACCCCUAGUCUGGGAACUUCCAUAGGCCAUGGGUGUGGCCCUAAAAAGACAAAAACAAAAAACAAAAACAAAACCAAAAGAAUGGAAGAGUGGGUUUUCCCUCUCUCUGUAGGCACAUCGUGAGCUCUCUGCUCUGUGAGGUCCUGUCCCUGGGAAGGAGAUAAGCCCAGGGGCGGGGAGGGGCUCUGGGCCAUCGGCUUCCACCUCUCUGCACACAUGCUCCUUAAGUUUUUCUUGUGGCUCUGGGGCUGCGUCCAGUUAUUUCUGCUCAGCCAUUCCUCUGAAGGCACGCUUACCUCUGUCUCCCAAGGAACAGUUGAGAAAUGAUGAUCAAACCAGGCCUCCAAGGUCAGGGCCCCAUUGGGUCCCACCAAGGAGCAGAAUGGACGGAUGCAGGAGAGGGGCCCCAAGUGCCUAUUUCCUUCCCCUCCCCGAACCUCCCGCCCUCUGCUCUGCGUCUGCCAGAAACUUUGCAUUUUUUUCUUUUUUAAGCUCUUCCUUUUUUUAGGGCUGUACCAGUGGCAUGUGGAAGUU